CUACGGGUCGCACCAGUGAGGAAUAUUGCACAAUGGGGGGAACCCUGAUGCAGCAACGCCGCGUGGAGGAUGACGCAUUUCGGUGUGUAAACUCCUUUUAUAUGUCAAGAAAAUGACGGUAGCAUAUGAAUAAGCACCGGCUAACUCCGUGCCAGCAGCCGCGGUAAUACGGAGGGUGCAAGCGUUACUCGGAAUCACUGGGCGUAAAGGACGCGUAGGCGGGUUGGAAAGUCAGGUGUGAAAUCCUACAGCUUAACUGUAGAACUGCACUUGAAACUUCUAAUCGAGAGUAUGGGAGGGGGAGAUGGAAUUAGUGGUGUAGGGGUAAAAUCCGUAGAUAUCACUAGGAAUACCUAAAGCGAAGGCGAUCUCCUGGAACAUUACUGACGCUAAGGCGUGAAAGCGUGGGGAGCAAACAGGAUUAGAUACCCCCGUGUC
rnacentral:rRNA from 1 species